rnacentral:rRNA from 1 species
CCUACGGGAGGCAGCAGUAGGGAAUAUUGCUCAAUGGGGGAAACCCUGAAGCAGCAAAGCCGCGUGGAGGAUGAAGGUUUUCGGAGUGGAAACUCGUUUUGAUAGAGAAGUAAAUGACGGUAUCUAACGAAUAAGCACCGUCUAACUCCGUGCCAGCAGCCGCGGUAAUACGGAGGGUGCAAGCGUUACUCGGAAUCACUGGGCGUAAAGCGCUCGUAGGCGGUAUGUCAAGUCAAGGGUGAAAUCCCCGCGCUCAACGUGGGAACUGCCUUUGAAACUGGCAAACUGGAGUGUGUGAGAGGAUAGUGGAAUUCCAGGUGUAGGAGUGAAAUCCGUAGAUAUCUGGAGGAACAUCAGUGGCGAAGGCGACUAUCUGGCACAUAACUGACGCUGAGGAGCGAAAGCGUGGGUAGCAAACAGGAUUAGAUACCCGAGUAGUC